rnacentral:lncRNA from 1 species
AUGCCGCGGAGGUUUUGGGAGGCGCCAGACCCGCGGCUGCCUCUGAGAGGCCGUAACCCCGGGCCGGUGCGGUCCUCGCCGCCGCUACUCGACACUCGCAGUCCCGCGCGGCUCCGGGCCGCCCGUCUCCGCCUCGCCGCCCGCCGCCUUCGCGUUGAAGCACAACUUGAAGACCCCCAGGACGGUCAUGACGAGGAUCACCAGUACCACCACGGCCACCGUCACCAGGAUGAAGACGUAGUUGGAGGAGGAGGAGGGCGGCGGGGCGGCCGUCCCACCGCGGCCGGCGGGCAGGGUCGCGGGCGGCCCCGCGGAGCCGCCGGGUGCCGGGGCAGAGAGGCGGCGGUCGGCCGCGGCGCUGGGGGCGGCGCUGGAGGCCGGGGCGCAGCGCUCUUUGCAGGGGCAGUGGGGCUCCUCCGCGCCCUCCCAGGCGAAGCCGCCCGGACCGUGCCGGCAGCGCAGCAGCACCUCUCCAGCUGGGCACGCCACGGCAAGCUCGGUGCCCGGCGGGCUGAAGCCGGGCGCGGCGCCGCCGUUCCCGAAGGGGAGGCGGUAGUCGAGGCUCAGCGCGCCGUCGGGGCGGAGGUCGGCGCAGGCGCCCUCCUCGCGGUAGCGGCAGGCGUAGCCCCGGCCGUGCCGCUGGCAGGGCAGCUCCCGCCAUCCCCAGCGGGGGCCGUCGGCGCCCGCCAGGUGCAGCCCGGCGCAGCGGGCGGCGGUGCAGGUCCGCACGGGCUCCUUCGCCCAGCGGCCGAGCGCCGCCGGCACCUCCCGCAGGGCCGCCUCGCCGCGCUCCUCCCAGGAGAAGCCUCGGAGCGGCCGUUCCCCGUCGGUGCAGGCGGAGGCGUUCCUCUUCAGCCCGACCCAGAAGAGCGCGGGCCCCGCGGACACCUCGGCCAGCAGCGCCAGCAGCAGCUCCAGCUCCGACUCGGCGCUCACCCAGGCCAGGCCGCCCCCCCGGCUGCCGCAGGCGCUGCGGGCCUCGUCGUACGAGGCGUUGGCCAGGUGGACGCUGAAGCAGGCGCCGGCGGGCUGGCAGCGCACGACGGAGGGCGGCGGGGGCCGACCCAGGGCGCAGGCCGCGGCCAGGAGCAGGCAGCAGGGCCCGGCCCGCCACCGCCCCAUCCUCGCGGCGGGCCCGGGGACGCGGGCUGUCCCGUCGGCUGUGUCGGCGCUCGGUCCGGCUCGGGCGGGCCCGCUCCACCCCAGCGCCGGCCCCGCGCCCGCGGCCCUCCCCCGGGGCUAUGCCGGAGGAAGCGUAGCGAGAGCCGGGCCCGACCCCGGCAUCCUCCGUUUGUUGGCGGCCCGGCCCCGUCUGGCAGGGCUCCAGGGGUGGGGUAG